rnacentral:rRNA from 1 species
AGCGAACGCUGGCGGCGUGCCUAACACAUGCAAGUCGAACGUGAAAAGGGAAACCUGAGUACAGUGGCGUACGGGUGAGUAACGCGUAGGUAAUCUACCCCAGAAUCUGGAAUAACCUGCCGAAAGGCGGGCUAAUACUGGAUAGAGCGAGGGAACUCGUAAGAGAGUUUUUCGGGAAAGGGAGCCCGCAAGGGCCUUCGUUCUGGGAUGAGCCUGCGUCUCAUUAGCUAGUUGGUAAGGUAACGGCUUACCAAGGCGAUGAUGAGUAGCUGGUCUGAGAGGAUGGUCAGCCACGCUGGAACUGAAACACGGUCCCGACUCCUACGGGAGGCAGCAGUGGGGAAUCUUGCGCAAUGGACGGAAGUCUGACGCAGCCACGCCGCGUGAGUGAAGAAGGCCUUCGGGUUGUAAAGCUCUGUCGGAUGGGACGAACAUCUUCAUAGUGAAUAGCUAUGAGGACUGACGGUACCAUCAAAGGAAGCACCGGCUAACUCCGUG